AACUCAGGACCCCUGGAAGAGUAAUCAGUGCUCUUAACUGCUGAGCCAUCUCUCCAGCCCAGUUUUCUGAUUUUAAGUUGUAAACCACUCUUCAUUUAUGGGUGGCUGUUAACAUAAAAUCUGUGAUCUUCUAAAUGUAAUGCCUGGAGCUGCACCACAGUGAAGGAGAAUGAAUGGGUCCUCUUAAAACUGUUUACAUGUAAACUGGAUGAGUAAUUUAGUUUCUUUUCUUUUUCCUUUCUUAAUUUUGUUUGUUUGGGUUUUUUUUUUUUUUAUGAUUUGAAAUGUUAUAUUGGCCCUCCAAAGGUUAAAUUACUCUACAAAAGAGUCACAAUACCAUGAUAGGUGAAAUACUAAACCCACUAUUUAUCCCAAAUCCAUAUUAAACUGUCUGUCCAAAUCACAUUUUAUUCAUCCAGAUAUAAUUAUUUUUAAAGGUAGUAAAAUUUGUCACUAGUCAAAUAGUAUUUCAAAGUUAUUUAAUCUUUAAGUUAUUACUUGCACGUGUGUGUGUGUGUGUCGCUCCGUGUGCAUGUGUACACACUAGGUGUGCACAAGAGGGGGACAUGUGUGUGGAGGUCAGACAACAAUUUUGCACAAUUGGUUCUCUCCCUCUAAUUUUAUGUGAGUUUCUAGGAUCAAACCUUUACCCACUGAACCAUCUCACUAGCCUUCUGAAGUUAUUGUUAUUAUUAUUUUAUUUCUGCAAAAUAAAUGUCAAAAGCUCAGUUUUACAGCUUUGUCACUUCUUAAGCACUUUAUUUUUGUCAAUUUCCCUAGAAAGUUAGUCUCCAAUGACACAUACCUGAGUAAGCUACAUAGCAAGAAUGCCUCAGAAAUAUCUGAAAGAAAACCAGAAGGGAGAGCUGGAGACAAAGCUAGCUUUCCAUGGGCUCUCUAUGAACCUACCAAGGAAGAACACACAGGGAGGGGUGUUCUCUAAGGCCCUGCUUUAUUAGAAGGCCUCUUUUACCUUCACAGCUCUAGGAACUUGGUCACAGUGACACUGGUCUCUGGAAUUCCUUGUCAUGUGGCCAAGAACACAGAGUAGGAGGCAGGCCACCAGUGCCACCCACACAAGCAGACAUGAGCCAAGGUAACUCCAUCUUUCUUUGUUAACUUCAAGGCAUGCGGCCCCCACCAGCCCGCAUUACGUCCAGUUAUAUUGCAUUUCCUCAUCAAAUGUAGUGUGUUUCUUUCCUGUCGACUAGAUGGUUGUCUAAUCAUCCCCAUCCCAGGAAGGCUAUUUGAUAAAAAGAAAAAGACUUUGAUCUGUCUUCAUUAAGAACAAACUUGAACUCAGAUAUACACUGAUUUAAAUUGUCUCUUACCUGCAGGGGACAGCAACUUCCCUGAUCAAGGCAAUGAAUGCGGCAGGGAACCUGAAACCCAAGCUCCCCUUCCUAAGUGUGAGGAGGUCCGUGCUCCUUUACAUAGCGUUUCAUCUCAAAGGUACGCCUUUCUGAAAUGAUGCCCCAUUCAGAAAAGCUGCGCACUUGUUGUACCGUACGUGGUAGACAGGGUUGUUAAACGAGGUUGAUUGUCUGCUUGCAUGGGAGGGGGCAAAUGAAAUACAGGGUAAAUAUCUAUAGGAAAAUAUCAAAACUGAAAUCCCGAGUUUUUCAAUCAAGGACGAUGCACUGGACCCAGUGGUGCAGGUCUGUAAAAGCCAGCAGGAGGCUGAGGAGGAUUACUAAGAUCAAAGCCUGCCCAGGCUACGGAGCCGACUCUAGCUCAGUCCAGUAACUUAGUAAGGCCCUCUCUCAAAAACAAAACUUAGAGUCAGCACUCAAAAAUCCAUGCCAUAGAGAAAAGCGAGUCCAGAAAAUGAUGACCUAAGCUAGACAGCCCUCUAACCUAUGUGGGAUGGGACCAUCUCCCCCUUGGCUGGGUGUGCUCUCCUUACACGUGAAGUUCUCCUCUGGCAUGGCUUACUAACCACCUGUCAGAAAACAUUCCCAACUCUGUGACAUUUUCUACAGCAUUCAAUCCCAAGGGUUCUGAAUAUUCAAGGAAAAAAUAUAAGAAGAAGCUGGAGCAGUUUGUGGAAAGAUGCGAACUCAUAACGUACCUCAGUUCCAAGAUGACCCGGAAGUACAAGGAGCCUCAGUUCAGAGCCAUCGACUUCGACCAUAAGCUACAGACAUUUUUAUCCUUGAAAAACAUAGACCCAGUUACUGGGUAGCUUGCUUACGUUACAGAGACCCAAAUCCCAGAACUCUCCAAGGGACAGAGGGAAUUGAAGAGCAGAAUUAAUACCCUGCAUUUUCUGAAGUAUACUUCCCUCCUGCCUAAUGUUGUGUAUGUAGUUCCUGGGCCUCAGAUGGACUCAAAAGGCCUAACCAGGAAGGGUCACCCUCUGAGUAUUCAUGCAGCUUUCAACUUUAUUCCUUUUUUCCCCCUAAAUUUGAUGCUCCCACAAAAUAGGCAUUCCAUUUGAGAUAUUAAAAUACGUACUACAUG
rnacentral:lncRNA from 1 species